rnacentral:rRNA from 1 species
AUCGGUGACAGGUGGUGCAUGGUUGUCGUCAGCUCGUGUCGUGAGAUGUUGGGUUAAGUCCCGCAACGAGCGCAACCCCUAUUGUUAGUUUGCCAUCAUUCAGUUGGGCACUCUAGCGAGACUGCCGGUAAUAACCGGAGGAAGUGGGGAUGACGUCAAAUCAUCAUGCCCCUUAUGACCUGGGCUACACACGUGCUACAAUGGUUGGUACAACGAGUUGCGAGUCGGUGACGGCGAGCUAAUCUCUUAAAGCCAAUCUCAGUUCGGAUUGUAGGCUGCAACUCGCCUACAUGAAGUCGGAAUCGCUAGUAAUCGCGGAUCAGCACGCCGCGGUGAAUACGGUUCCCGGGCCUU